CCCCCGUACAUGAAAGACAACUAUAAGAGCGUAGCAAUGUUUCAAAUACAGCAUAAUCGAGAGUAUUGUACAACAUACACACAACUAUUUGACUGUGGAGGAAAAAGGGUCAGUAGUUGGGACUAGUCAGGGAGGAGAGGUAACCUGUCCACAAUGAGGGGUGAUCCAUUUAAUUCACCAAUGGUACCACGGAAAUCAUCAAGCCUGCUAUCUGCACCAACUGAUUCACUAGACUUCCUACCUUCAUCCAAACUAGCCUGAUAUGGAAGGAUACAGAGACGUACAUCUGGCUCUCUACCAAUUUUUUCUGACUGUAGUUGGUAUUUUUGGAUGAAAUCCAUUUGAAGUAAAAUAAUAUGUGAUGGCCUUGGGAGUAGCUCCACAGUUUCUCCUUUUGGG
rnacentral:misc_RNA from 1 species